AGGCAUAGAAGAACCACUCUUACCAUGCCUCUUCCAAAUUCCUGACACACAAAAUCCAUGAUGGUUAUUGUUUUAUGUCUCUCUUAGACCAUGUGGGCUGCUAUAACACAGUAUCACACACUGGCUGGCUUAUAAACAAAUUUUUUUCUAACAGCACUGGAUGCUAAGAGCUCUGAGAUCAAGACACCAGCAGAUACAGCAUCUACUUUUGGAUGUUGUGUGAGGACCUGAUAACUGGAAGUGUUGCUGCCAUCCCUCAUACCAGAAAGUAUGAGCCAAAUGUUGAAGUCUUGAGCCUGCCAGCCUUCAGACCAACACUACAUCAUCAGCUCUCCUGGGUCUCCAGCUUGCCAGCUUACCCUGCAGAUCUUGGGACUAGUCAGCCUCCAUACUCAAUUUGUUAUA